CCUCUUUCACCAAUUUGAGGAUUACCCAAGGUUAAUUUUACGGCGGCUCAUUUAUUUUGGCUUAGAAAUAAACAUAAUUGACAAGUUUCUUUCCCCUGCAUUCUCGAUCCCACAUGUAAAUAGCACGGUGAUUUCAAAUAAGACAUUGAUUGUAUUACAACACUUGCAGUCAGUAUUUGAAUAUAUUGAUUAAGAAGGUUGUCAGCAAGAUGAAAAGGACAAGUAUGCAGUUCAAAAUUCAAAAUGUGGAUAAGCUGAGGUUCAAGGUCUUACCUUUGCAGAUUUUCAUAUUUUGCAUGAAUGAAUUCAAAGGUUAUAUGAUGGACGGCAGAGAAAGAAACCUCCUGGAUAAAUGUAAAACAUCUUGUUUUUUGGACAAGAACUAUAGAAGAUCCAGAGAAAUUAUAAACAGCAGAAAUGAUAGGCAAUUUAAAAUUUGCAGAAGCAAACUAAACCUAAAUGGUGAUCAGACAUCUUGGUUUUCAUGAUCAAUAGGUCAUUACUGAAGAGGAAACUUAAAGUUGAAAUUUAUUUACAAAGUGCAUAAUUGGAUUAAUUUGAACUGGAAUGUGUGCUUUCCUGCAAAAAAGAAACAGGAAAUUUCAUCAUUAUCACUUGAUAAUGCCCAUAAACAAAAUGGAGUUCUAUCAUAGAUACACAAAAACACUAUUGCAUAAAAGCAUCAACAUAUUAUAUAUAUUAAUCGAAAGAAAGGAGAAUGCAGAACAAAUACUAUUUUGUUGUUGAAAAAGGAACACUGGUCAGUUUUAUCCACUCAUUUACAUCGCUCCCUCAUAUCAAAUGUACGGAAGGAGAUCUUGAAGAACAAUUUGCAAAAAUGUUUUCUCUUAGAAUUGAAGGAAAAUGUUAAGUGAAUGGAAUAAUGUAUUCACUGAAUUCUUACGUAGUGGAUUGAAUAACUGUAUACAAGUUGAAACAGAAGAAAAUUUUAAUUUCGAAUAACACGAAAAGUGUUUAUUUUAUUAUUUAAUCUGCAAACAUAUAAACAAAUUCUUUAGAACACCACAAAUGGUAUGACAUUCAAAUUGGUUGCUUAUUAAUGUAUUGCAUUGAAACAAUUACAAGGAAAACAGAAUCAUUUGCUACAAAAAAAAAUUAUAAAUCAAAGUUAAAUUUUAUAAAAAGUAUGAACAAUACCUAGAUCUAAACAGUCAGACUUUAUCAAUUUUCAAUGUCAUUAAAAAAUGUUGAGUCAAACAUUUAUGAAAGUUUUGAAUAUCAUUUGCAUCAACUAUACAGUCUUGUAAUAAUUAUAUAUAUUCAUACUGUUUAUAUGUAUACAUGGUAUGGCGAAGAAAUGUUUAACAAGUAAAAAUAAGGGAAAACAUUUCCUUAAGGGAAAUUUGUUGUCUUGAAGGAAAUCUUUUUCCCUUUAAAAAACAAUUUCCCUUGAGGAAAAAAACAAUUUCCCUUUGAGGAAAAAUCUUUUUCCUCUAUGGAAAUUUGAUUUCCCUUGAGGAAAACUACUUUUCCUUUAAGGAAAUUGUUGAAAAAAGGGGCAUAACUUUUUCAACAGUGGUGCUAGAGCCAAAAAAUUUUAGGACAAAUAUCAGGGAACCAAUACCAACCAAGUUAUCAACUUCAUUUUGACUUAACUCCAAAAAUUAAGGUGAACAACUUUUGCUCUCAGCGGAUUUGCAAACUUGACCCCGAGACAAAUCUGCUUUUCUGAGAUGUUUUAUAAGGUUCCCAAAAUAUGUUAUGCCCUACAGCUUUCCAUCCAGCUAAGGCAGAAGUGUUUUCUCUUUUAUUCUCAUAUAUCCAGUAUUCGCAAU